CUCGUGAUCCACCCGUCUUGGCCUCCCAAAGUGCUGGGAUUACAGGCUUGAGCCACUGCACCCGGCCUAUUCUACCACUAUUUUUAAGAAAAAAUUUAAAACUAUUUUUUAACUUCCAAGUUAAGUAUUUUGCUAUUUGACAAGUUAAAAAUGUAAUAGAAAAUCAAUGUAACUUUUAUCUUUACCAGAAGUCGUAAAAGUCUAUCUAGAAAAAUUUCAGAUGUGUGAACAUGGCUUUAGAGAAGGAACUCAACUACAGACUAUAGGAAAUGUAAAACCAAGCCAGGUUCCUGUUGUGGGCCUUUAUUAUGACCUGAUGACCUAAGCUAGAGAAUCACAGCACUAACGUAUAAAUAAACCAAAUAGCAUGCAUUGGCUUUAGUUCAGAAGGGAAUUUUUGUGCAGAAAAUAAAUUGGAAGUAGGGGCUCUGGCCAGUAUAAACAGGUAAGAAAAAAGUAUGAUUCCCCACACCUCAAAAAUGACUCAUUCACGCAUCCCACCAAUCAAAGAUCCAUUUGGAAUAACAGGUUCUUCUAAAAGCUGCCAUAAAAGUUGAGCCUCCUACCACCUAUAUUUCUGUGUGAAUUGGUUUAGUCUGCAGGCAUUUUGAUUGCUUUUCUUCUAACACCUAACUUAGAUGUUGGUGAAAUAGAGGUCUUGUUUGGAGGGACUUGAAGAAGGAAAAGGAAAGGACAAUUUUAGGUCAAGGGAUAUUUUGGAAUGGCGGGAAAGUAGGAUCGUUAGGACAGCUGGAAACAGUCUUUAGUUGUUGGAAGCCAGGAAAAAGAUGUAGAGAGGAGGGCAGAAGUGGUCAAGGCUCCAUGAAAAGGAGGAUGAAGUGGUCAAAUCAGAUGUCGACCAUGCAACAAUGACGUCAGGAACCCUGCUUGGUAUACCAUCGAAUAACACGGCUAAAAUGAAAUUUUUUUCAUUUUUGGGAAGCCUCCUCUACAUACCUCCACCUUCUAACUCCAAGAAGUCAAAAAAAGCAUGUGGGGCUCCCUUGGCAUCUUUGACUUGUAGAAAGUGUAAUAUGGAGUUUCCAGACUAG
rnacentral:lncRNA from 1 species